GGGAGAGGGGCUAGGGUUUGGUAAAUUCUCAAUUUGGGGAUUUGUUUGGUGAAGAAGAGUGAGAGAGAGGGGCCGACGAUUUGGUGGGAGGUUGAACGUGAUUGAGGCGACGAAGGUGUUGGGAAGAUGUCGUUAAUAUGUAGUUAGAUAGCCCAAAGUAGUAUGUCUUCAUACAUACUAUUUUGUCUUGAAACCUUCCGCUGCAUUUAAAUGUUGUUCUUGGAUAACUAUGAAUUUGGUUUCAAUACUCUGAUUAUGACUUGACUUUGUACCCAUUCGCCUUCGAGACUAUUCCCUCGAGUUAAUUAUUUCUUUUAUGAUGAGUU